GGUUUCUUGUAUAAUUAUAAGAAAUUUGACCUGCCCACUGAAAUAUUAAUUGAAGGGCCGCAGUAUUUUGACUGUGCAAAGGUAGCAUAAUCAUUAGUCUUUUAAUUGAAGGCUGGUAUGAAUGGUUGGAUGAGGUAAAAUCUGUUUUAUAUUUAUUUAAAUUGAAUUUAGAUUUUAAGUAAAAAGACUUAAAUUUAAUUAAGGGACGAGAAGACCCUAUAGAGUUUAAUAAAUGUAGUAAAUAAUUAAGUUAUUUUUAAAUUUUUAAUUAUUAUAAUAUUUAUUUAGUUGGGGUGAUUAGAAGAUAAAAAAAACUCUUCUUUAAUUUUUAUAAUUUAAUUAGUUUAAAGAUCCAUAAUUUAAUGAUUGAAAGAUUAAAUUACCUUAGGGAUAACAGCAUAAUUUUUUUUAAGAGUUCAUAUUGAAAAAGAAGAUUGUGACCUCGAUGUUGGAUUAAGAGUAGUAUUAGGUGUAGAUGUUUAUAUACUAGGUC
rnacentral:rRNA from 1 species